GGAAUGCAAUCUUCUAAUUAGAGGAAAAUAUGUUUGUAUAAUUCCUAAAUUGUAGAUCCCUCUGAUUAGGAAUGCAAUCUUCUAAUUAGAGAAAAAUAUUUUUGUAUAAUUUCUAAAUUGAUCCCCUGAAAAUUAAUAAAAAAUAUCCUUUUGGUCCUAGAGAAAGCAUUACUUCUUCCUCUGAAAUCCUCGUCUUCACCUUCUCUUCUAUUUUUUCUGUUUUUCAUUAUGGUAUCAGAGCUCUCUGUUCCAUAAAUACGC
rnacentral:lncRNA from 1 species